GAACGCUAGCGACAGGCUUAACACAUGCAAGUCGAGGGGCAGCAUAAAAGUAGCAAUACUUGGUGGCGACCGGCGCGAACGGGUGGGUAACGCGUAUGCAACCUACCUAUCAGAGGGGAAUAACCCGGCGAAAGUCGGACUAAUACCGCAUAAAACAGGGGCACCGCAUGGUGAUAUUUGUUAAAGAAAUUCGCUGAUAGAUGGGCAUGCGUUCCAUUAGGUAGUUGGUGAGGUAACGGCUCACCAAGCCGACGAUGGAUAGGGGAACUGAGAGGUUGGUCCCCCACACUGGUACUGAGACACGGACCAGACUCCUACGGGAGGCAGCAGUGAGGAAUAUUGGUCAAUGGGCGAGAGCCUGAACCAGCCAAGUCGCGUGAAGGAAGAAGGAUCUAUGGUUCGUAAACUUCUUUUGCAGGGGAAUAAAGUGCAGGACGUGUCCUGUUUUGUAUGUACCCUGAGAAUAAGGAUCGGCUAACUCCGUGCCAGCCGCCGC
rnacentral:rRNA from 1 species